UUAAUUUGACUCAACACGGGGAAACUUACCAGGUCCAGACAUAGUAAGGAUUGACAGACUGAGAGCUCUUUCUUUUUUUUUGAUCAAAUGUAAAAAUAUAAAUCAAAAAAAGUCGUAGACA
rnacentral:ncRNA from 1 species